rnacentral:rRNA from 1 species
AAUGCCGGAUGCUCCGACUCCUCGCAUGGGGUGUCGGGAAAGAUUUCAUCGGUAUGGGAUGGGGUCGCGUCCUAUCAGGUAGUCGGCGGGGUAACGGCCCACCGAGCCUACGACGGGUAGCCGGCCUGAGAGGGCGACCGGCCACAUUGGGACUGAGAUACGGCCCAGACUCCUACGGGAGGCAGCAGUGGGGAAUAUUGCACAAUGGGCGCAAGCCUGAUGCAGCGACGCCGCGUGCGGGAUGACGGCCUUCGGGUUGUAAACCGCUUUUGAUCGGGAGCAAGCCUUCGGGUGAGUGUACCUUUCGAAUAAGCACCGGCUAACUACGUGCCAGCAGCCGCGGUAAUACGUAGGGUGCAAGCGUUAUCCGGAAUUAUUGGGCGUAAAGGGCUCGUAGGCGGUUCGUCGCGUCCGGUGUGAAAGUCCAUCGCUUAACGGUGGAUCUGCGCCGGGUACGGGCGGGCUGGAGUGCGGUAGGGGAGACUGGAAUUCCCGGUGUAACGGUGGAAUGUGUAGAUAUCGGAA